rnacentral:rRNA from 1 species
UGGGGAAUAUUGGACAAUGGGCGCAAGCCUGAUCCAGCCAUGCCGCGUGAGUGAUGAAGGCCUUAGGGUUGUAAAGCUCUUUUGUCCGGGACGAUAAUGACGGUACCGGAAGAAUAAGCCCCGGCUAACCUCGUGCCAGCAGCCGCGGUAAUACGAGGGGGGCUAGCGUUGUUCGGAAUCACUGGGCGUAAAGCGCACGUAGGCGGCUCAUUAAGUCAGGGGUGAAAUCCCGAGGCUCAACCUCGGAACUGCCUUUGAUACUGCUGAGCUCGAGUGUGGAAGAGGUUGGUGGAACUGCGAGUGUAGAGGUGAAAUUCGUAGAUAUUCGCAAGAACACCAGUGGCGAAGGCGGCCAACUGGUCCAUUACUGACGCUGAGGUGCGAAAGCGUGGGGAGCAAA